rnacentral:rRNA from 1 species
AGCCGGUCCCAAGGGUAUGGCUGUUCGCCAUUUAAAGAGGUACGUGAGCUGGGUUUAGAACGUCGUGAGACAGUUUGGUCCCUAUCUGCCGUAGGUGUAGGAAUUUUGAGAGGAGCUGCCCCUAGUACGAGAGGACCGGGGUGGACAUACCUCUGGUGGAGCUGUUGUCACGCCAGUGGCAUUGCAGCGUAGCUAAGUAUGGACGGGAUAACCGCUGAAAGCAUCUAAGCGGGAAACCUGCCUCAAGAUGAGAUUUCCCGGGCCUUCGGGCCCCUAAAGGACCGUAGAAGACUACUACGUUGAUAGGUUGGGUGUGUAAGCGCUGUGAGGCGUUGAGCUAACCAAUACUAAUUGUCCGUGAGGCUUGAUC